UACGGAGGGUGCAAGCGUUAAUCGGAAUUACUGGGCGUAAAGCGUGCGUAGGCGGUUCGUUAAGUCUGUUGUGAAAGCCCCGGGCUCAACCUGGGAAUGGCAAUGGAUACUGGCGAGCUAGAGUGUGUCAGAGGAUGGUGGAAUUCCCGGUGUAGCGGUGAAAUGCGUAGAUAUCAAGUGGAACACCAGUGGCGAAGGCGAGUCUCUGGACAUUUCCUGACGCUGAGGCACGAAAGCCAGGGGAGCAAACGGG
rnacentral:rRNA from 1 species